CAGUUUGUAUGAUUUUUUGUCUGUCAAUCUUUUUCUGCACAAAAUUACAGUUUUCUAGGCUGAAUCCAAAUCAAUGAACCCAAGAUGUCAAGUGUCACUUUUUCUGAUGAUGGGAAUCCAUAUAUGAUAAGCAAGUUGGGAGGUCAUUGGCAUAAAUACCAAAGGAAUUCUUCACUUGCCUGCAAAUUCGAUUAUCCUCUUUGAAAUCAUAGUCCUUCCAAGGAUUAUGUCAUGGUUGCACCUAUGAGCUUGGGCAGCUAAAUCCUCAAAAGUUUCCAUGAACACUGCCAUCUUCUUCUUGAUCUCAUCUAUCACAAGUUUCACAACAUCUACUUCUCUGAUAGCUAAGUCAGCAUGGUGCAAGAGGGACUUGAUUUCUAUUUCCAAUUUGUUGACAAGCACCCGUAUACCGUCCAUGUCCUUGAUUGUAAUGAAAGUUCCAACCUGAAUUGUGUUCACCAACUCCUUCUGCUCCUUCAACGCGUUCUCGUACCGAUGCCAAAGCAAGUGACACCACGUCCCCACCGAGUGCAUUGGGUCAGCCAGAGCACCGGCCAAAGCAGUUACAACAGGCGGUGCAGCAAUGGCAGCUGCUGCAACGGAAAAAAUCAUCACGGUGACAAAAACGGACACAAAUAAAACAUUCGACACUCUCAUCCAGAUCUUCACCGAUUUCAAUUUCUUACCAAGCUUCCUCUUAUGAGAUUGCAAUUUCUUCAACAUGGAGACCUGCUGUUCAUAAACCGAUUGAAACAGCAUAAAGAAUUUGGGGGUAAACGGAUCCCCUGCAACCAUAAAAUUCUGUAAAUCUUCUAAUGUCUUGACGUACUUCUUCUCAAUCACCCCAUCUUGCAGUUCCACUUCCUUCUCAAAAUGCGCAAUGGCAGCCAAUAUAUUCAACUGGCUAGUUCGAGCACUUGUCACACAGCUUUCUAGUUCAGUGCAGAAAUCCAUAGUUUUGAUGCUACUCUCGAAGUAUUCCUCAACCAGAGCAAACAAUUCCGGAUUAUUCCAGAUAUCUUCUUUGCUUUCUAGUAUGAAUUUUACCACAUCUUGGUUCAUUUCAAGAAGGCAAUUAGUGACCACUUUGAAUGAGCCUGAGGAUCCCGUGGCAAUAUCAGCAGUGCUAAGUGAUUUUAUGGCAUGGUUAGUCUUCUCCAUGAGGGUGGCAUCAAAUGAUUGCAAGCGUGGAUCUAGCUUACAAGCAUCCUCGUAGGAGUUAAAAUCUUCCGCGAAUUGGGAAUGGGUGCUGCUUUGAACAGGUGGUGGUGGGAUAUCACCACCUCUAGUCUUGCAAGAUUGAUCGCCUCUCUUCAUAUCCAAAUGACAGCUGAUAAAAGUAAAAGAAAACUCAAAGUAAGAAAAAGAUGAGAUCUUUUUUCACUUCAAAUGCUUUCUAACAAUAAAAAUAUCAAAUUUAAGCAAUACUAAGAAAUUAAGUUGAGUCACAGAACUCAAGAAAUCCAGUUAACUGACAAAAUCAUCCAAAACUGAAACAAGACACGCUUAUGGAAUAAGAAAACACCCAAAUUAACAACUUUUGAUCUGAUAUCUAGAACCCAGAAUCAAUCCUUCACUUGACUACAGGAUUAAGAGUAAAUGAAUUGAAGGACCUGGAAAAAAAAAAACAGAGAGAAAUUCAUAAAGCAGGCUUUGGGGGCACUAGUCAGCUUACAUUAUAGUCCUUGUAUCGUUUGAGCUUCAACUGCCUGAAAAAUUCACCUGAAAAUGAAAAGGUACGAGUAAUUACUUCCUCUCGCUACAAAACGCUAAGAUCUUGUGUUUUUGUGUAUGUUGGACAGUAGAUUUUUGAGAAAGAGGUUUUUAUGAGCGACGUGAUUAGAAGAGAGGAGGACUUGAGGCAGUCUUACAACGAGAUAAGUUGAAAGACCGGAAGUAAAGAGAAAAUGCAAGGAAAUGUACUGAAAGACACAUUACUGUCCUCAAAGAGGACACAACCGCAGGUUUUUCUAGAGCUGGAAGAUUCAACUACGCGUAUGGAAGUGGUUUUUUCUUGCACAAUACUUUAUGAUUAUUGUUAUUAUUUGUGAACAGCGGCUGCUUUGAUCAGAUGGAAACAAAGGAAGCUGAUAAGGAAAUAGUCAAGGUUGUCAAUUUCGUUCCAUUUCGUCCGGAAUGGUCGAAAUAUUCUAUACCAAUUCAAAAAACGAAAUAAAACGGAAUAAAUUUUAUCUCAUUUUAAAUCUCGGUCCGUUCCGGAUUUUUCGGCUAAAUUCCGCCCGAAACAUUCCGGUUUCAUUUCACGUGUUCCGUUCUGCUCUUGAAAAACCAUUAAAUCAAAUUGAACCUUGCUCAAUUUCAUUAAUUAAACCACCCGAUUAUAAAAAGCUCUUUUUCAUUACUAUUUUCAAUAGUAAUGGUAUUAAUAAUAAUAUUGAAAAUUAUUAUUAUUAUUUUCAUUAACAAUGAUAUUAAUUUUUUAAAAUUAGAUUUAUCACUAAUAUAUAUGGUUUAUAUCCAUGUUUUUUUUUUUCAUGUUUAUACUUUGUAGGAAUUUGAGCAAAACAAUGCAUGUUUUUGAUUCCAUUAGCCACUUGAUAACAUUGACUUAACUUUAUAUUUAAAAUAUUUUUGUUAAAACAUUUUACUUUCAUAAUAUUUUGAUAUUCUGUUUAAGUUGAAUUACUUUAAGUUAAAGAUCUAUUUAAUCUUGACUAUUUAUAAAUAUUUUAAAUUUUGAAAUUAUAUUUGUUUGGCAUUGUGUUUGUAUUGUAUAAUUUAUAAUUAAUUUAUCUUGAAUUCGAAUUAUGUUUGUUGAAUAUAUAUAUAUAUAUAUGAACAGUACAACCCCGAAACGGUACGUCGAAACACUCCGAAAUUGAAACAUUCCAUUCUAAUUGAAAAAAUAAAACACCUACCGAAACGGAAUUGACAACCUUGAAAAUACGACAACCCAAGAUGGGCGGGGAGAGGGCCAAUGGCUGGGUCGAUGCCACUACAAAAUUCCCUUUGUGGCUUAGAUAAUAACCGUUGAGUGUUUAGUUAUAGUUAACAAUGCGAUAAACUGGUACUGGCUAAGUUUUUGACUGCUAAAACAAUGUUUGUUUAAUAUUUAAUUUUUUUAUUUUAAAUUAAUUUUUUUUAAUGUGUUUGUUUGUUUUUAUAUAUUAAUUUUAAAAAAUAAAAAAUAUCAUCUUAAUUUAAUUCUGAAAAAAAAAAACAUUUUAAAACAUAGUUUCCAAAAACAAAAACCGCGACAGGUUCACUGCGUCAAGAUUCUACCAACUUAUCGAGGACGAACAUUCCUAACUUUAUUCCAAGUUGGAAACGUCGCUUCUCCUUAAUUUUAUAACCAGCAAAAGCUAAUUCAUCGCUGAUAGUCUCGUUUAGAAACCCUAAUGACUCAACAAAGUCCACAUCUUGGGUAAAAGAUUUAUUAUGAUGCCAUAUUGUCCCAAUCUUGGAUGAGUAGAGGCAUGCAUUCCGGUGUCAACUACUACCUCCAAUUACAUUAUUCACUAGUUAAAUCUGGUUCACUUUUCACUAACCAUGGGAUCAAAUAAAAGUAUGUGUCUUUGGCAUGUGUUUAAUAAAGAUUGGUUCUACUAUCAUCACUAACAAUACAUAACCCACAAAAUCUAAAACAAAUAUAACUUUUGUAGAGAUUCAAUGUCACUCUAGGCCUUUUUUUCCCAAAGUACUAGACUAAAAUUCUCCCUUGAUCUCCUUAUCUUUACAUGAAUAAUACACUCACAUGAGUUCAAAACUAUAUAAAUAACUUUGAAUCUUGAUGUAAGAAAAUAUUCCUUUUUACAAUAUUAUCCUUCAUACAAAAACUAUAUAUUCUUCCUUAAGUUAUGUAGCACACACAUCACACAAUCUCAUUAGACUUCUUUUCUCUAGGUAUUAAAGGGUUUCUUAAACCCAUAAAAAUAACUUAUUAUACCGAUGUUUUCAUUAUCCAAGCCUAACACUAUAGGAGAAAUUUUAUAGUGCUUUGAUAGUAACUAAUAGUUACUUUCAAUGUCCACUUUAAAGAUAAAAAUAGAGACAAGUUAGAGAAAAAUCUUAGAUAAAGAUAUUCUUAUCAAUUUUAGUGUUCAUGAAUCUCAUUAAUUAUCUCUGUUAUUUUUAUGUCCUUGCUUUUAGCAAAUGUUCGGAGGAAAGAACACAGCACGAUCACUUCCUUCAUCCUUUUCCUGCUUUCUUCUGUCUUUAAGCAAGAAGCGAGUUCAGCGGCAUUUCUUAUCCAAGCCUUAGUUUUCUGUCUUCGACCAUAAUAAUUCUUUGAAAAUGUUUCCCCAUAAGCAAAGACAAGGGAGAUUCUUUUAUAUCUGAUACACCAUGUUGUCUUUGUUUUCCUUCACUGAGGCCACACGUUAUCCAGAAUUUAAUUAAAGCAGGCUAUUAACAAGGCUGCUGGCCUUUUCAGACAUCUUUUGAUAGCUGAUGAAUGUGAUCAACUAAAUUAAAGUUGUUACAGUCCUAUUUAUGAUACAGCAAUUGCACAACAUCAGAAUAUCUAGGGCUACUGACUUCUGCAAUAAUCUUGCACACAAACCUAAUGGAACCUAUUGAGAAAAUAUGUAGACAAAUCCUACAGAAAAAAAAAAAGCAAACUACUCGAAUAUUUCAUACAAACCGAUGUGCCCGUUGUUUUUUCCUUGAUCGAUCAAUCAUUUGAUGUUUUUCAGACCCACUGAUCACCACUUAUCAUACCAGUUUGUAUGAUUUUUUGUCUGUCAAUCUUUUUCUGCACAAAAUUACAGUUUUCUAGGCUGAAUCCAAAUCAAUGAACCCAAGAUGUCAAGUGUCACUUUUUCUGAUGAUGGGAAUCCAUAAAUGAUAAGCAAGUUGGGAGGUCAUUGGCAUAAAUACCAAAGGAAUUCUUCACUUGCCUGCAAAUUCGAUUAUCCUCUUUGAAAUCAUAGUCCUUCCAAGGAUUAUGUCAUGGUUGCACCUAUGAGCUUGGGCAGCUAAAUCCUCAAAAGUUUCCAUGAACACUGCCA
rnacentral:lncRNA from 1 species